rnacentral:rRNA from 1 species
UUAUGGAGAGUUUGAUCCUGGCUCAGGAUGAACGCUGGCGGCGUGCCUAAUACAUGCAAGUCGAGCGAACCACUUCGGUGGUGAGCGGCGAACGGGUGAGUAACACGUAGGUUAUCUGCCCAUCAGACGGGGACAACGAUUGGAAACGAUCGCUAAUACCGGAUAGGACGAAAGUUUAAAGGUGCUUCGGCACCACUGAUGGAUGAGCCUGCGGCGCAUUAGCU